AUAGUUGAAGGGCCGCGGUAUUUUGACCGUGCAAAGGUAGCAUAAUCAUUAGUCUUUUAAUUGAGGGCUGGAAUGAAUGGUUUGACGAAAUAUUAACUGUCUCUUUAUGAUAAGUAGAAUUUAACUUUUGAGUCAAAAGGCUUAGAUGAAUAUAAAAGACGAGAAGACCCUAUAGAUCUUUAUAUAAUUGGCGUGGGUAUGAAGUUAGUUGUGUUAAUUAUAGUUAUGUCAUUAUAUUUUGUUGGGGUGACAUGAAGAUAAAAGUAACUCUUUAUAAUGGAAACAUUGAUUUAUGGUUAGUUGAUCCGUUAUUUACGAUUAUAAGAUAAAGUUACCUUAGGGAUAACAGCGUAAUUUUUUUUGAGAGUUCUUAUCGACAAGAAAGAUUGCGACCUCGA
rnacentral:rRNA from 1 species